rnacentral:rRNA from 1 species
GACGAACGCUGGCGGCGUGCCUAAUACAUGCAAGUAGAACGCUGAAGGAGGAGCUUGCUUCUCUGGAUGAGUUGCGAACGGGUGAGUAACGCGUAGGUAACCUGCCUGGUAGCGGGGGAUAACUAUUGGAAACGAUAGCUAAUACCGCAUAAUAGUAGAUGUUGCAUGACAUUUGCUUAAAAGGUGCAAUUGCAUCACUACCAGAUGGACCUGCGUUGUAUUAGCUAGUUGGUGAGGUAACGGCUCACCAAGGCAACGAUACAUAGCCGACCUGAGAGGGGGAUCGGCCACCCUGGGACUGAGACACGGCCCAGACUCCUACGGGAGGCAGCAGUAGGGAAUCUUCGGCAAUGGACGGAAGUCUGACCGAGCAACGCCGCGUGAGUGAAGAAGGUUUUCGGAUCGUAAAGCUCUGUUGUAAGAGAAGAACGAGUGUGAGAGUGGAAAGUUCACACUGUGACGGUAUCUUACCAGAAAGGGACGGCUAACUACGUG